CAACGAGCGCAACCCUUAUCCUUUGUUGCCAGCGAUUAGGUCGGGAACUCAAAGGAGACUGCCAGUGAUAAACUGGAGGAAGGUGGGGAUGACGUCAAGUCAUCAUGGCCCUUACGACCAGGGCUACACACGUGCUACAAUGGCGCAUACAAAGAGAAGCGACCUCGCGAGAGCAAGCGGACCUCAUAAAGUGCGUCGUAGUCCGGAUUGGAGUCUGCAACUCGACUCCAUGAAGUCGGAAUCGCUAGUAAUCGUGGAUCAGAAUGCCACGGUGAAUACGUUCCCGGGCCUUGUACACACCGCCCGUCACACCAUGGGAGUGGGUUGCAAAAGAAGUAGGUAGCUUAACCUUCGGGAGGGCGCUUACCACUUUGUGAUUCAUGACUGGGGUGAAGUCGUA
rnacentral:rRNA from 1 species